rnacentral:lncRNA from 1 species
ACCUGAAUCCAUAUGUGGAAAUGUUGAACCUCCUUUUGAUGAUUAUCCUUAUGUUCUUGUGAACUCCUAUAGCCUUCCUUCAAGUUUUCUUGAAGUUGUAUAUCACCACAAGUAUGAAUCCACAAGACUAAAACAAUAUAUGAAAGGUUCACAAUAAUAGUGUAAUGACAAUGAUCAAAAAUGGUUUAUGGUUUUCCACACUAUUUGCACGAUAACAAUGGAGUAUUUUGGCUCUUGAUUCAAUGGGAGGAAGAAGAGUCUUGUCUUGCACUAAUGUGGGAACCAUAACCCCCACUUUAUAACUUAUGAGUUACAUAACCCAAGAGUCACAAGAGUUACAUAACUCAAGAAUCACAAGCAUGUAACCAUGGUUACAUAUAUGUAACCUUAGUUAGCCCAUCAUUAACUAAGGUUACCCUUUUGGGUAUCUACACAUUAGU